UACGUAGGGGGCUAGCGUUGUCCGGAAUCAUUGGGCGUAAAGAGCGUGUAGGCGGCCCGGUAAGUCCGCUGUGAAAGUCGGGGGCUCAACCCUCGAAUGCCGGUGGAUACUGUCGGGCUAGAGUGCGGAAGAGGCGAGUGGAAUUCCUGGUGUAGCGGUGAAAUGCGCAGAUAUCGGGAGGAACACCAGUAGCGAAGGCGGCACUCUGGGCCGGUACUGACGCUGAGGAGCGAAAGCGUGGGGAGCAAACAGG
rnacentral:rRNA from 1 species